GACGAACCGUCCGAACGUUAUUCGGAAUCACUGGGCUUAAAGGGUGCGUAGGCGGUCAGCACAAGUCAGUUGUGAAAUCUCCGGGCUUAACUCGGAAAGGUCAACUGAUACUGUGCGACUAGAGUGCAGAAGGGGCAACUGGAAUUCUCGGUGUAGCGGUGAAAUGCGUAGAUAUCGAGAGGAACACCUGCGGCGAAGGCGGGUUGCUGGGCUGACACUGACGCUGAUGCGCGAAAGCCAGGGGAGCGAACGGG
rnacentral:rRNA from 1 species